AAUUUCUUGAUCACUCUGCUCAACUACCAGUCAAAACAUCACUUUCUUUAUCUCUUAUAACUAAACUUUCUCGUCUUGCUUUUGCAGCUUCAUUUGCAAUUUUUUCUUGGCUCCUUCAAGAAAAGAGAAGUGUUUUACCAGUUAAUAAUAUGAACAUUCCAAUUGUUGGCAAUGGACUGGAAGAGUUGUAGUAGUGGGCUUAGAGAGCUAAGGCCUUUGGUGCACUUGCUUUUG
rnacentral:misc_RNA from 1 species